CUGGAGGAGUGGGGAGCACUCGAGGAGGAGCCGGUGCCGGUGGACGGGCCGCCGCCGCCGCCGAUGCCGAUGGAGAGGGCGGUGGAGCCGUCGGAGCGGUCGCGUGCGUCCUGCUGGAUCUCCUCGAGGAGGAGGCGCGAGCGGGCCUCGUUGAAGGAGGGGAAGGGGGUCUGCAUGGGCAGAACCGUGGCGAUCACCUGAUAGCGGCGGGAGAGGCCGCGGAGCAGCUGUAGCGUCAGGGUCCGAUCCUUGACGGG
rnacentral:lncRNA from 1 species